AGUUUAUUCAGGCACAGAGCUUAGUGGUUACAAAAGAUGUUUCUCAGAGGCACUUUUAUUAACAGUUACAAUACUAGAAUGAAGAGAGUCAAACUCCCUAAAGUGUCACUUCUUUUACUUAAAGUAGUUAGAACUUCUUCCUCUGCUACUUUUAAACCGCAGUCACCCUGUGAUAUACAAUCACAGAUUCUCUGUUCCUUACCAGGACACAGACUACAUUAAAUAAGUCACCAAACUUAUUUUAAACCGACUCAAAAUGGCCUGGCGGCCCUGACCAAGGAGUAGAAGCAAGAUGGCUUUAUUAUAGGAAUUUGGGAAACUAUCAAUGUCCGAGCGAGGAAAUGAUGGAAUUAGGCAAAUGGCAAGUCCGGGAUGCUGGGGACAAUGGGUGCUUCCAGACUGAACAAACAAUGGCUGGGUCCAAAAAUGUCUAUUGGAAAUGGCAGACAAAUCGUAGUGUCUCAAAUUGUUUGUGUUUGUCCUGUCUUCCAGAGAAGCCCGGGAAUUGCCCACAGGUAAAACCAGGCACGCUUGUAGACUGCAGCGCACAGUGCAACUCUGAUGUUGGGUGCCCUGGGAACAAGAAGUGUUGCUACUCUUACUUCUGCAAAAUCUGCCUGGAUCCUGAGAAGGUCUGACCUUGGAGGAGGCCUGGAUCCAUGGACAGCGACCACCAGAGAAGUCUGUCUGAAGCUCUUCUGCCCAUCUCUGCUGCUCCACCCAAGUCCACAUCCCACCCUGCUCCAUCCCCACUUGCCCCAUGGAUGACGGUCCCAAUUCUGCUUUGCUAACCCCCUUCCACUAACAAUAAAUGCACCAGCCUCCUCGACCUUAAGACUUUGGACUCCUUUUUGGCUGAUGGGGAGGAGGUGGCCUACUUUUGACUGAGGUUCAUUUGAAAAAAACCUGCUCUUGUUUUUGUCCUGAAAUCCUUCUCCCCGUGCCCUCCAGAUGCCCACGUCUCAUUCCUGGAGGGGCUUCCCUUGACCUUCUUAUGGGUCCCGAGUUCUGGUUCUGGAGUCCCAUCAGUCCUUGGCCUGGUUCUCCUCCUCUUUCCGUCGAUCCAAUUCUGGUCAGGUCUUGUCAGGGGUAUCAGAGUAAUUCGCAGCGUAGCAGCAGUUGUAUGUUGUCAAUGGAGCGUAGAACGAAGAGACGUCAGAAACGAUGUUAAAAAGUAUCUACAAAGUUUUACUGAACAAGACAAACAGACUUGCAGACAAUAGACACAGGACUUUCACUCUAGGCAAACAGCACAGAUCUUCUCAGCAGGCAGAACAGAUCUCAUCUGGUGCAAUUGUCAUGAAGACUUUUACAACAAAAGUUAAAACAUCCUGCUCAGACUGAACAGAAUAUCCCACUUCUGACACCAAAAAUGUUAUGAAUAACCUUUCAAUAACGUUAAAGCAUAGGUUCUUUUUAUUGCACUUUCAGUCUGAGAGGUAUAGCAGAACUUUUUACAGAACAACAAAGAACAACGUUUAGACAUACAAACAUACAGAUUCUAUGCAACUACAUUGGAUUCAUAAACAACCUACAGUUACAUUGGCUAAGAAACAAACAAGGGGGGGGGGUUUACAUUUUUAUUCUUCAUUCACACACAACAUGCAUCCAUCUUCAUGCACACAAAUAUUACCAUAUUCUUUCUCCCUCCUUGGAGAAGCACCUGCUUAGGCCAGACCCAGCUUCCACUGCUGCCUGCCAAGACAUAGUUCCAAAACGCCAAAGCGCCAAAACUUCAAAAAGACCAUGACUUCAAAACGCACUCCUUCCUCUUUCCCUGAGAAAAGGAGGCCCCAAACAGUGAACAGGAUCCUGCUUUCCCAGAGCAGAUCUGCCACUCCCAAGGACACCGUCUCCACUGAGCAUGGCGGGUGAACAGCGUCGCUGUCUGUCACACCUUCUGGACUCUCAUAAGGUCACUUAUAUAGCAAUAUUUUGCUGAUGAUGUUGUCCCAAAGUUGCAAAUGAGUGAUAGACGUCUUCCAUUCUGGAAUAUCCUCAGUUUCCUGGACCAGAUGUUGAUUCCUCUUGAUUGGCGUUAGCAAACACAAGCAGCUCUGCCCCAAAAGUUCAUCAAGUUAGCAAAUGUUGACAGAUGUUAACAGAUGUAAACAUUUCUCUUAUCAGUCACAGUUCUUAUCACAGUUUGCUGGGCAGAUCAACUAUUUCAGGUCUCAUUAGCAGGUUUUAAUUACAAUUCCUGAGCAGGUCUUAGUCUACAGACUGGUGUCUUCAAAUGUACUAACUCACUCAUUCUUCCAUUCAUACCACAUAUCCUAUAUGCAUAUUUUGGUCACACAAUCAGCUAUAAUACAAACACACUUGAGUCUGGACACUCCUCUCUGUGUUCCAGCCACACAUCCAAGGUCAAUACAGCUUCUUACCAAUUAACUCUUUACACACCUGGAUGAUGCAAUCAGGAUGCAAUACAUGCCAGACACAAAUUUCAUUUAAACACUACCAAUACACAAAUCCCACAUUAACAAGGGGUUCUAUGUAGACAUAAAAUUCACUGUUGGAGGGGAAGGGACUCUUGAGCUCCAGUUAAGGAGCCAGGUACCUUCAGGUAGUUGCAGUGGUCUUCUCCUUCAGGAACAAGAACACGCAAGCAGAGCUGUUCUUUCCAAAAGGAAGGCUUUUCUCUUUAGUUGCAGCGGCAGGAUAUACAUUAUAUAUAAUAAUAAUAAUAAUAAUAAUAAUAAUAAUAAUAAUAAUAAUAAUAAUAAUUUUAUUCUUGUACCCCACCUU
rnacentral:lncRNA from 1 species